UACGUAGGGGGCUAGCGUUGUCCGGAAUCAUUGGCGUAAAGCGCGUGUAGGCGGUUCGGUAAGUCCGCUGUGAAAGUCGGGGGCUCAACCCUCGAAAGCCGGUGGAUACUGUCGGGCUAGAGUACGGAAGAGGCGAAGUGGAAUUCCUGGUGUAGCGGUGGAAUGCGCAGAUAUCAGGAGGAACACCGGUGGCGAAGGCGGGUCUCUGGGCAGUAACUGACGCUGAGGAGCGAAAGCGUGGGGAGCGAACAGG
rnacentral:rRNA from 1 species